GAAAGCAUUGCACUGCAAACGCAAUAGAAACAGUUGCGGCUGGGCACGGGAAUAACGAUGGCUAGUCAGGGGCUCACGAUAGAGGAAUAGAAGGGACGAAGAGCUUCAAUCGGGAUCAAAAACAAAACGUGAGACUUAAAAAUAUUUUUCUGAAAACAUGUCAUCAUUUUUUCUCUAUACAAAUAUGAUCCAAAUUUUUGCGAAUUUCAUAAAUGUUUUUGAAGUUUGGCGAAUUUUGAACCUGAAGGUAGAAAUUCGCCGAAUGCGGUGACUUGGCCUAACAUCAUCAUCCUUCAACAAAUUGAAUCCAAUAUUCAUCGCCCAGUCAGCCAUACAAUUUCUAGUUCUUAUGAUGUAAGAGAGCUUAAUGCCUUUGGGUUCCUUGAUUGCCCAUUUAGCUUGAUUAAUAACUACUUCUAUUUUCCAAUUCUGCAUUGUUCCAUCCUUCAUUGCUUCAAUAAUCAGACUAGAGUCCCCUCCAAUCCACAAUUUCUUCCAGCCUUUCUCCCUUGCAAUCAUCAAUCCCUACAACUGAGCUCUAGCCUCAGCCAUAUUUUAGAGUCAUCCCUGAAAUCAAGAGCAAACAAACUGACAGAUUGACCAUUAGAGUCUCCAACCCCCCUCCCCCCACUGCCAACCUUACUUGGAUUAUUCUUUGCUGCACCAUCAAAAUUAAAAUUAAGCCAGUCAACCUUCAAGGGAAGCCACAAACACGGCUAGAGUGGAAAUGUUGCCCAGCAUCCCCUCAAACCUACUCAUUAUCUAUGAAAGUCCAAUUGCUGUCCUUAUGAAUAUCCCCAAUCUCACCAAUUGAACUUUCCACCAUAUCCCAAACUCUAUCAAUCGAUUUCCUAGAGUUUUGAAAAGCUCUCCUAUAUCUUUCUAACCACAACUUCCAAACAAUACUUGUCGGAGCCAAGUUCCAGAUGAGCUUCAAACUAGGGCUGCGAACAUUAGAGCCUCAACAAUCUAGCAAUGAAGGAAUAUUCUUGGGGAUUGCCCGAGAAUUCUUCCAUCUCGCAAGAAAACAUGUCCAAAGAUGCCACGCAAAACUUCAAUGAAUUCAAUGAAGGAAGAAAUGAGUGUUGUCUUCCUCAUCAAUCUCACACCUCACACAUCUUGAAGGCUCAGAUCUAUCAAAGGUCCUUAGUAUAUCCCAAGUGAGAGUCCUUCUCUUCCAGACAAUAUGGAGAAAAGCGUGCAUUUUGGAGACACCAUACUUGAACCAAACUACUAUCCACCCCAUCAAAAUUGCCAAUGUUGCAAAAAUAUUUGGAAAAAGCUUCUUUUGCCAUGACUUUGCCCUCACCGUUAUCCCCCCCAAACAACUCUAUCCUUCUCCUCACUCUCUACUGAACUCAAUCGUAGGGGCAACCAAAGCCUUAUAGCGUCUAUUAGGGGGAGAUCCACCAUGUAAUCCACCACCCUCACUCCCACAAUAUCCUCAAAAUGGGAAGGCACAGAGAACCCCACCAUCCAACCAAUGAUCCCUUCAAAAAUUGAUCUUUCUACAAUCACCCAAGCGCCACCUUACAUUAAGAAGAAAGAUACUACUACAAUGACUGAUGAAAUUCCAAAUAUUGGAGCCCCGAGGAAGAAGGAUAUCCUUCUCAAAUAGAUUAUCAAUGUUAUUUUGAAGAUAUUUGGCUCAAAUAACUUUACUCCACAAGUUAUCCCUCUCCUCAUACACUCUCCAGGCCAACUUGACACCAAGGACAAUAUUCAUCUCAUUACAAUUACGUCUCCCUAGUCCCCCAGCUUUAUCAGGCUUACAAAUCACAUCCCAUUUCACCAAAUCGUAUUGGCAGUUGUCCUCACAACCUAGCCAUAAAAAGCUUCUUUUUAUAACCUCAAUAGGCUUAGCCACCUUCUUGGAAUUUGAAAAGUAGACCUAGUGUAGGCCAAGACAACAAACAUAGAAGCUUUUAUGAGAGUAACCCUACCACCCAAAGAGAGCCAACGCCCCUUCUAGGAGUCAAGCAUACUAUGAUUUCUAUUUAGAACAUUACUUCAAUCACCAACCAUGGGCUUCUUGAAAGCCAAGGGCAUGCCUAAAUACUUACUAGGUAAGUGAUCAACCUCAAACCCCAAGAUCCACUUAAUAUCCAAACACUCAAGCCGCUGAUCCUUAAGGAAGAAGAUCCAAGACUUAAACCUUCUUCCUAGUUGCUUGAUCAUAUUUGACUAGCACAUUUGUGAAAACCCAAGCCUCCUUGGUUUUAGCCUCGCCAAAUAAUAAGGUAUCAUCAAUGAAUUGAAGAUGAGUGAUGUUGCUAGAGCCAUGUGAAAUUUGCAACCCUUUGAGAUUACCAAUCAUAACCUCUUUCUAUAUACUUCUUCUCAAAGCCUUGACAAGAAUGAGAAACAAAAAAGGUGACAAAGGGCCACCUUGACGAAGCUCCCUUUUGGCUUUGAAAAAAUUGGAGAGGGCACCAUUAAUGAGAACCGCAUAGGAGAUGGAGGAGAUAGAACUGAGAAUCCACUUGCACCAAGAAUGAUUGAAACCAAGUCUUCUUUUGAUCUUAAUGUUAAAAUCCCAAGGGACUUUGUCAUACACCUUAUUCAUAUCUAACUUGAUAGCCAUGCCUUCCUUCUUCCUACUUUGGAAGAUGGCCCUGCAUAACUGACACUCUUUAGCUGCAAGUCAACCAUCUUCACCAACAAGGUGCCAAUUAUUUUGAAAAACUCAAUCUGGAAGCCAUCUGGACCCGACGCCUUCCAAGCACCCAUAGAGAAAACAACUUUCCUAAUUUCCUCCUUGGAGAAGGGAGUGAGCAGAACAACAUUUUGUUCCUCAAAGAUAAUGCUAGUAAUGUUCAAAAGCUCCUCCUGGGCAGCGAUGUCUACCUUAGGCAAGGAAUCAAGCAAGGAAAGAAAUAUUUUUUUGCCAGCCAUACGAAUGACCUCCACAUCCUCAACAAUAUGCCCCUCAGGAGUCUGAAUCUUAAGGACUAUUUUUUUCCCUCCUGAUCUUGGUGGUAAUAUGGAAGAAGUUUGUAUUUUGAUCACCCUCUCUCAACCACUUAAACCUAGAUUUUGGUGCCAAAAAAUCUCCUCCAUGCGGAGCAGCCUAUUGAGAUCAUCCAUUAGCCCAAUCUCCUUAAUGUUUAGCUCAAAGGAAAAACCACUGGAAGCAAUAUCCUUUUCAAUCAAACGCAGGUUCAUUUCCACAUCUCCUUGUUUUUGAACAAAUCCCCAAAAGAGUGUUUAUUCCACACUCUCACCUGCCUGCUAACCUCUUUAAGUUUACUAAAAAGAAUGAACCUUUUGUAGCCCUUAAAAUCAAACAUCCACCACCCCUUCUAAAAUCGUAUCAAAAUAAGGGUAUUCAUACUAGAUUGCCUCCAUCUUGAAAGGGACGCCUCUAGGCUUGAAUGCCUUCUGCACUAAAAGGGAUAUAGGCCAACGAUCAGAGCCACCGUGUUGGAGAACCUCAAAGCAGAAACUAUCCGAGCUCAGAAACCAAUUUGAAUUGGUUAAGAACUUGUCAAGCUUGAUCUUGAUAUUGUCUUCUUCAAUAUGUUUGUUAGACCAAGUGAACCUUCCAUUCUUGGGUUUCAUAUCUGUGAGAUCCAGAUCCUUACAAAGAUUCUUGAAAGCCAAAGAGCCCUGAGAGGCAACAACUCUACCCCACAAUUUUUCCCUUGGGGUCAAAAUUACAUUGAAAUAUCCACCAACCAGCCAAUUCCUUGUCCCAUUGAUAUCUAUGAAGUUAGUCUAUGCUGAAUUUCUGGAUUAGAUUGUGUUUUGAUUUUUGCAUCAACGUUUUGAAUCACACUCCGUGAUCCAUCAUCAGGAUAGUAGAGAGAGCUAGGAGGCAAAAAAUCAUGGAGUGUGAUUUGAAACGUUGAUGCAAAAAUCAAAACACAAUCUAAUCCAGAAAUUCAGCAUAGACUAAUAUUAUAGAUUGUGGAAAUCUUAUAUCAUUAAUAUGUGAAGUUCUUGAGAUGAUCCCAAACCUCCAAUCUUUCCCCCAUCAAACUAGGGCCAUGGACAUUGGUAGUCAGCAAAGAAAUCAUUGCAUCUGAGAGCACCAAGCCGAGAUACAAAAAUGCUUAGCUUCAAUAACCAUCCCAGAAAUAGUGAGCUUGUUACAAGCGAUGGCAAGCCCCCAGUAGUGUUGGAGGCAUCACUAGCCAUCCCUUUCUCGUUCCUCCAGAAUCUUGGGACUAAUUCUAUCUUUCCAUCUUGGUCUCUUGCAAUAAAAGAAUAUCAAGGCACUCUAUUUCAAUUAGUCGCUUGAGAAGGUGGCACUUCUCCUAGACAUUAAGGCCCCGAACAUUCCAACUCAAGACCUUCAUGAUCUACUUGACUCAGGGGGUGCCCACCUCCAUUAGAUACAAACCGCCUCAUUGUGGCCUAUGUGUCAUUUCGUACUUCCUCCAAAGCUUCAAGCUUAGCCCUUGUAGCCUCUGCUUUUCUCCCACCUCCAUUAGAUACAAACCGCCUCAUUGUGGCCUAUGUGUCAUUUCGUACUUCCUCCAAAGCUUCAAGCUUAGCAUGAAUUAGUAUACUACUAUUGAUUCUAAAUUUCUUUGUCCUCCUGGGUGCCAUGGACCAUUCAUUCUCCUUGUUAGACUCCUCUGCUAAUAGGCUCAUAAGCUCUUUUUUUGCUUUUUGAGAUCAAAGCAUCAUCAAUCGAGCUAGAACAUCUAGCCCCAACUGCUUGGCGAUGAGUGUAGGUCUUCACCUCUUGAUUGUUGCCUCUUCCUUGUCUGUGUGUCCUCUAGCACCACCACACAACACCUCCAAAAAUUUGAGAGUAUCCAAAGCCUUUGUUUGAACAGACCCACCUGAGAGUUGAACCAGGGCAGAGCCACUUACCCUACCAGCUGCAGCACGACCCUCAGAUGGAAAAAUUGCACUGCAUUGCAUAUAAGAAAAGAGGAGCUGUUGGGGAGCUGUUUUAGAAGACAUGUUUGCUUGUUGGAAGCAUUGGAACUAUUUCAGAGGCUGGGAAGAGGCAAGUCAAGGGGGUGCUGGAGCUGUUAUAGAUCUGCACAUCAGUGUAGUGGUAUGGAGCCAUACAAGUGUAGUAAUUAACAAUUUUUGAUCUGCCAAACCUUUCCUUUGGUGUAACAUUAUAAAAAGAGACUAGUAAAGCAGUGUAAUCGUUAAUUAGAGGCACAAAAAAGUCAAGCACAACAAAGGAAGGCACAGCCUACAGCCAGGUGAAGUUUUGAUAAUCAUAUAGCUUAUUUAAUAAUUUGUAUAUCCAUUAUUCGGGCAACAUAGUUCAUUUAUAAUUUUAUAAAGUUUAUCUAGAACUUUAUACAAUUUUUUAAACUACCUAAUCAAGUUCGGGAGGUUUUUAACUCUGUAA